UUUGCACGCCAAUUCCCUAAUUAUUAACGAAGAUCAAAUAUAACAAAAUUACUAAAUAAUCUCCCAAAGUUAUCUGUUUCCAGCUCAUAUAUCCCGUUCAUUUCGUUGUCACUACCUACCCGUCAAGCACAGCACAUCCACGUGUAAACCUUCUUGGCCAUCGAUCCUUCCGCUUCUUGUUAAUCGCGUGCGUCCAUUCUAUACUGGCCGCUAUAUAGCGAGAAAUAGUUAGCGCCUCUAUUCAUUCCCUGUUGUAUAUUCAGUUCAUCUCUUUGAGUCAGAUCUCUCUUUGAGUCAGAUCUCUCUUCAUGGCUUCUCUUCGAGUUCCAAGGCUUCUUCUGUCGUUUAGAUCGCUCUUUGAUCUACAUGAUGAUGUUAGUUUCAUGGGGGGAUUCGAAUUCAUACGUUGAGUUUUUGGAUUCGCAAGUAGUAAAUCUCUCAUGGAUCUGUUGCUUGCUUCCUCAAAUUUUCCCCGCAUGGAUCCUUCAAGCGUAUGGUUUUUCUUGCUUUGAUGCUUUAUCAGGAAUCUUGAAAUUAAUUGAGUGUUGUCUAAAGCACCAAAACGGCUAUCUUUCUUCUCUGAUGUGUUUGCUGUAGGUUGUAUGGUGUUUAUAGCAGAACAUGGUGACCAUGGAUCCAAUCUGCCAGCAUUUUAUUUCCUCAUAGUGGGUGUUGAUUUCUUUUUUUUUUUUUUUGGGAUUUCGAUAUGCUUGCACGUAUUCGAUCUCUGUGGCUGAUCUUUGGUGAUUGCUGCAUGCGAAUAUGCGAUAUGAUGCGAUUGUAUGAGGUGAAAAGAUAUGUAAUUCGUUGAUUGAUGUGGAUAGCUGGAGAUGGGUUUUGUCAUUUGUGACAUGUGGAUGUAUAAGAUAUAGCAGGACGAAAGGCUGCCCAAUAUUGUUUAUUUCAUGGGGCUGCAAGUCUUUGGUUAAUAUCUUUGUCAUCCGACCUUUGCCAUGACAGGUGCGCUUGCAUGGCAGGUCUCCCAAAAUUCUUAAUAAAAUGAUUUCUUUUCGUGUUUUUGAGGGGAGAUCGCAUGGGGAUUACCCGGGUUCUCCUCUCUACAGUGUGUAGUUUGUCCCGCUUUGUUAUUUUUACUCGCCUUCAAAAAUCCAAUCCGCAACUGAUACCAGAGCUUUCUUGAGGAGAUCAACGAUCCGCUUCUUUCUGGGUUUCGCUCUAAAGGUAUUCUCUAACUGAUCUCUUACAUUAGAAUUUGAUUAAAGUAGUUUUAUACAAGGCCUUCCUGGAUAUUACUCAAAUUUCUCAGUUGCAUCUUGCUUGCUAGCCAUUCGGGCCCAUACUUGUCUUUGAUUAGCUUUCAUUAUCAACAGGGUUGGAACUAAAACUAUUUUGGAUGUUUGAAAUUGGCAGUUUUCACUUGUUGUGGAGUUCAUGGAAAUCGAGUUACCUUUUUUUCAAGGUAAAAGAAAUUGCAUACAAUCUUUAUAGGAUCUACCUUUUUAACCGAACCAAAGAAAUCAUUUACCAUGUGAAUUCGUGAAUUGUCCUGAUUCUGCAAAUUGACGAAUACAAUUUAUCAAUUGAUCCUGCAAGAAUGGCUAUGUAUCUGCCGUUACUGUUAUUUUUUAACCUCACUGGAAGGCAAUGCAAAUCAUCAUAGUGUUCCAUCCAAGCAUUUGCGAUUCUUUAAAGAACAUAUUUUUGUUCGAUGUUCUUGAUUAUCAAAUCAUUGAUAGCUGGAAAUAACAUGAAAAUUUAUCCGAUGAUAAUUUGCUGGUUGAAUUUCUGAUAUAGGGUCUCAUAGGCAUUGUUAUUGUUUGCUUUUACAAAAGUACAUAAUUAUGAUGAAAAUGCUGUGCGUUGUACCAAAUUCUCCUAUAAUGCAUUAUACGUUCUCGAGGUUGUUGGGAACUAGUUUACAAUUUACAAUUCGAUGUUAUAGUAUUUUGCCAUGGUCAUGUUAUGCAAAUGUGCUCGGUCACUUGGCCUGGAAAUCUUUUGGCAUUUGGAGGGUGCUUCAAAGUUUGAUCGUUUGCUUGCACGUGGGCUUGAUUGCUAGUUGGAUUCAUAAUGAUUUCUUUUGAGGUCAGGUGAAAGCUCAGGAUCCUCAAGGUGAUGAAUCAAGUGCUAAUUUUUUACACUUUCUGAACCUAAAAGUGAAGUAUUACCAAGGGCAUUUGAGCCAUGAUUUAUACGUUUUUACUCGUUAUGAUGUCUAUCUUUAAUCUUUCGGUGCGUUUGAACCCUAGGGGCAAUUUAAAGUUUUCAUCGCCUUUGGCUGAUAAUUACUAUAAUUAUAAUUCCUCAUUUGCAGUUUUUGUAAAAUUUUAUCCUUUUCUUGCCAUCUGUAAAAAGCUUGUGGUGGUGCACGGAUAGAACUGUGCAUGGGGUUAUCAAUCUCCUUUGGCAUGUUUAUUAACGUUAUUUUCAACUUGAAUA